rnacentral:rRNA from 1 species
GAGUUUGAUCCUGGCUCAGAACGAACGCUGGCGGCAGGCCUAACACAUGCAAGUCGAGCGCACCCUUCGGGGCGAGCGGCGGACGGGUUAGUAACGCGUGGGAAUGUACCCUUUUCUACGGAAUAGCCAUUGGAAACGAUGAGUAAUACCGUAUACGCCCUUUGGGGGAAAGAUUUAUCGGAGAAGGAUCAGCCCGCGUUAGAUUAGAUAGUUGGUGGGGUAAUGGCCUACCAAGUCUACGAUCUAUAGCUGGUUUUAGAGGAUGAUCAGCAACACUGGGACUGAGACACGGCCCAGACUCCUACGGGAGGCAGCAGUGGGGAAUCUUGCACAAUGGAGGAAACUCUGAUGCAGCGAUGCCGCGUGAGUGAAGAAGGCCUUUGGGUUGUAAAGCUCUUUCGUCGGGGAAGAAAAUGACUGUACCCGAAUAAGAAGGUCCGGCUAACUUCGUGCCAGCAGCCGCGGUAAUACGAAGGGACCUAGCGUAGUUCGGAAUUACUGGGCUUAAAGAGUUCGUAGGUGGUUGAAAAAGUUGGUGGUGAAAUCCCAGAGCUUAACUCUGGAACUGCCAUCAAAACUUUUCAGCUAGAGUAUGAUAGAGGAAAGCAGAAUUUCUAGUGUAGAGGUGAAAUUCGUAGAUAUUAGAAAGAAUACCAAUUGCGAAGGCAGCUUUCUGGAUCAUUACUGACACUGAGGAACGAAAGCAUGGGUAGCGAAGAGGAUUAGAUACCCUCGUAGUCCAUGCCGUAAACGAUGUGUGUUAGACGUUGGAAAUUUAUUUUCAGUGUCGCAGGGAAACCGAUAAACACACCGCCUGGGGAGUACGACCGCAAGGUUAAAACUCAAAUGAAUUGACGGGGACCCGCACAAGUAGUGGAGCAUGUGGUUUAAUUCGAAGAUACGCGCAGAACCUUACCAACACUUGACAUGUUCGUCGCGACUCUAAGAGAUUAGAGUUUUCGGUUCGGCCGGACGAAACACAGGUGCUGCAUGGCUGUCGUCAGCUCGUGUCGUGAGAUGUUGGGUUAAGUCCCGCAACGAGCGCAACCCUCACUUUUAGUUGCCAUCAUUAAGUUGGGCACUCUGAAAGAACUGCCAGUGAUAAGCUGGAGGAAGGUGGGGAUGACGUCAAGUCCUCAUGGCCCUUACGUGUUGGGCUACACACGUGCUACAAUGGUAUCUACAACAGGAAGCAAGACUGCGAAGUUAAGCAAAUCCCUAAAAGAUACCUCAGUUCGGAUUGCACUCUGCAACUCGAGUGCAUGAAGCUGGAAUUACUAGUAAUCGUGGAUCAGCGUGCCACGGUGAAUGCGUUCCCGGGUCUUGUACACACCGCCCGUCACACCAUGGGAGUUGGUUCUACCUUAAGGCAAGGUUUCAAACCCUUGACCACGGUAUAGUCAGCGACUGGGGUGAAGUCGUAACAAGGUAACC